UACGUAGGGCGCAAGCGUUGUCCGGAAUUAUUGGGCGUAAAGAGCUCGUAGGCGGCCUGUUGCGUCCGCUGUGAAAUCCCGGGGCUCAACCCCGGGCCUGCAGUGGAUACGGGCUGGCUGGAGGCAGGCAGGGGAGAACGGAAUUCCUGGUGUAGCGGUGAAAUGCGCAGAUAUCAGGAGGAACACCGGUGGCGAAGGCGGCGCUCUGGACCGAGACUGACGCUGAGGCGCGAAAGCGUGGGGAGCAAACAGG
rnacentral:rRNA from 1 species